GCUGGGCAUGGUGGCGUAUGCCUGUAAUCCCAGCAACUAAAGAGGCUGAGGCAGGAGGAUUUCAAGUUCAAAGUCAGCCUCAGCAACUUAGCAAGGCCCUAAGCAACUUAGCAAGACCCUGUCUCAA
rnacentral:sRNA from 1 species